GGGUUGUGAGGUUAAGCGACUAAGCGUACACGGUGGAUGCCCUGGCAGUCAGAGGCGAUGAAGGACGUGCUAAUCUGCGAUAAGCGUCGGUAAGGUGAUAUGAACCGUUAUAACCGGCGAUUUCCGAAUGGGGAAACCCAGUGUGUUUCGACACACUAUCAUUAACUGAAUCCAUAGGUUAAUGAGGCGAACCGGGGGAACUGAAACAUCUAAGUACCCCGAGGAAAAGAAAUCAACCGAGAUUCCCCCAGUAGCGGCGAGCGAACGGGGAGCAGCCCAGAGCCUGAAUCAGUGUGUGUGUUAGUGGAAGCGUCUGGAAAGGCGCGCGAUACAGGGUGACAGCCCCGUACACAAAAAUGCACAUGCUGUGAGCUCGAUGAGUAGGGCGGGACACGUGGUAUCCUGUCUGAAUAUGGGGGGACCAUCCUCCAAGGCUAAAUACUCCUGACUGACCGAUAGUGAACCAGUACCGUGAGGGAAAGGCGAAAAGAACCCCGGCGAGGGGAGUGAAAAAGAACCUGAAACCGUGUACGUACAAGCAGUGGGAGCACGCUUCGGCGUGUGACUGCGUACCUUUUGUAUAAUGGGUCAGCGACUUAUAUUCUGUAGCAAGGUUAACCGAAUAGGGGAGCCGAAGGGAAACCGAGUCUUAACUGGGCGUUAAGUUGCAGGGUAUAGACCCGAAACCCGGUGAUCUAGCCAUGGGCAGGUUGAAGGUUGGGUAACACUAACUGGAGGACCGAACCGACUAAUGUUGAAAAAUUAGCGGAUGACUUGUGGCUGGGGGUGAAAGGCCAAUCAAACCGGGAGAUAGCUGGUUCUCCCCGAAAGCUAUUUAGGUAGCGCCUCGUGAAUUCAUCUCCGGGGGUAGAGCACUGUUUCGGCAAGGGGGUCAUCCCGACUUACCAACCCGAUGCAAACUGCGAAUACCGGAGAAUGUUAUCACGGGAGACACACGGCGGGUGCUAACGUCCGUCGUGAAGAGGGAAACAACCCAGACCGCCAGCUAAGGUCCCAAAGUCAUGGUUAAGUGGGAAACGAUGUGGGAAGGCCCAGACAGCCAGGAUGUUGGCUUAGAAGCAGCCAUCAUUUAAAGAAAGCGUAAUAGCUCACUGGUCGAGUCGGCCUGCGCGGAAGAUGUAACGGGGCUAAACCAUGCACCGAAGCUGCGGCAGCGACGCUUAUGCGUUGUUGGGUAGGGGAGCGUUCUGUAAGCCUGUGAAGGUGUGCUGUGAGGCAUGCUGGAGGUAUCAGAAGUGCGAAUGCUGACAUAAGUAACGAUAAAGCGGGUGAAAAGCCCGCUCGCCGGAAGACCAAGGGUUCCUGUCCAACGUUAAUCGGGGCAGGGUGAGUCGACCCCUAAGGCGAGGCCGAAAGGCGUAGUCGAUGGGAAACAGGUUAAUAUUCCUGUACUUGGUGUUACUGCGAAGGGGGGACGGAGAAGGCUAUGUUGGCCGGGCGACGGUUGUCCCGGUUUAAGCGUGUAGGCUGGUUUUCCAGGCAAAUCCGGAAAAUCAAGGCUGAGGCGUGAUGACGAGGCACUACGGUGCUGAAGCAACAAAUGCCCUGCUUCCAGGAAAAGCCUCUAAGCAUCAGGUAACAUCAAAUCGUACCCCAAACCGACACAGGUGGUCAGGUAGAGAAUACCAAGGCGCUUGAGAGAACUCGGGUGAAGGAACUAGGCAAAAUGGUGCCGUAACUUCGGGAGAAGGCACGCUGAUAUGUAGGUGAAGUCCCUUGCGGAUGGAGCUGAAAUCAGUCGAAGAUACCAGCUGGCUGCAACUGUUUAUUAAAAACACAGCACUGUGCAAACACGAAAGUGGACGUAUACGGUGUGACGCCUGCCCGGUGCCGGAAGGUUAAUUGAUGGGGUUAGCGGUAACGCGAAGCUCUUGAUCGAAGCCCCGGUAAACGGCGGCCGUAACUAUAACGGUCCUAAGGUAGCGAAAUUCCUUGUCGGGUAAGUUCCGACCUGCACGAAUGGCGUAAUGAUGGCCAGGCUGUCUCCACCCGAGACUCAGUGAAAUUGAACUCGCUGUGAAGAUGCAGUGUACCCGCGGCAAGACGGAAAGACCCCGUGAACCUUUACUAUAGCUUGACACUGAACAUUGAGCCUUGAUGUGUAGGAUAGGUGGGAGGCUUUGAAGUGUGGACGCCAGUCUGCAUGGAGCCGACCUUGAAAUACCACCCUUUAAUGUUUGAUGUUCUAACGUGGACCCGUGAUCCGGGUUGCGGACAGUGUCUGGUGGGUAGUUUGACUGGGGCGGUCUCCUCCUAAAGAGUAACGGAGGAGCACGAAGGUUGGCUAAUCCUGGUCGGACAUCAGGAGGUUAGUGCAAUGGCAUAAGCCAGCUUGACUGCGAGCGUGACGGCGCGAGCAGGUGCGAAAGCAGGUCAUAGUGAUCCGGUGGUUCUGAAUGGAAGGGCCAUCGCUCAACGGAUAAAAGGUACUCCGGGGAUAACAGGCUGAUACCGCCCAAGAGUUCAUAUCGACGGCGGUGUUUGGCACCUCGAUGUCGGCUCAUCACAUCCUGGGGCUGAAGUAGGUCCCAAGGGUAUGGCUGUUCGCCAUUUAAAGUGGUACGCGAGCUGGGUUUAGAACGUCGUGAGACAGUUCGGUCCCUAUCUGCCGUGGGCGCUGGAGAACUGAGGGGGGCUGCUCCUAGUACGAGAGGACCGGAGUGGACGCAUCACUGGUGUUCGGGUUGUCAUGCCAAUGGCACUGCCCGGUAGCUAAAUGCGGAAGAGAUAAGUGCUGAAAGCAUCUAAGCACGAAACUUGCCCCGAGAUGAGUUCUCCCUGACUCCUUGAGAGUCCUGAAGGAACGUUGAAGACGACGACGUUGAUAGGCCGGGUGUGUAAGCGCAGCGAUGCGUUGAGCUAACCGGUACUAAUGAACCGUGAGGCUUAACCUUACAACGCCGAAGGUGUUU
rnacentral:rRNA from 1 species